CCGGGUGGCGACCGGCGCACGGGUGAGUAACGCGUAUGCAACUUACCUAUCAGGAGGGGGAUAACCCGGCGAAAGUCGGACUAAUACCGCAUGAAGCAGGGGCCCCGCAUGGGGAUAUUUGCUAAAGAUUCAUCGCUGAUAGAUAGGCAUGCGUUCCAUUAGGCAGUUGGCGGGGUAACGGCCCACCAAACCGACGAUGGAUAGGGGUUCUGAGAGGAAGGUCCCCCACAUUGGUACUGAGACACGGACCAAACUCCUACGGGAGGCAGCAUG
rnacentral:rRNA from 1 species